UCCAAGGCCGCCCGGGGCGAUGGAUCCGUCUGAAGAGAGCGAGACUCCAGCGGAGGGGGGAACGGAAAGCCCCGGUGCCUGAUAGGAAAACCACGCGGUCGGGGAUCACGUGCUCACGGGGGCUUUCCUCUCUGCUCCCCGUUACGCCUCCCACUCGGGGGCCGGGACUCGCUUGUAAUUUGUCAGACACCCCUGGAGUUUCCCUGCCACACCGCGACCAACGGCUAGCAGCCGGAGCAGAACUGUUGGCCUCUUCAUAAGCAAUUCUUUGAUUUUGGGGGGUUGCAAGGGAACAACUCGAAAAAUUACACCUUGAGGAAAUGCAAAGGUCCUGUCUGAAUACAGCUGUCCACUCUCACCCGAACAGAAGGAUUUUUCAUUCAUAGAAGUAUCUUUAUUAUUCAUGAAGUAAAUACUUUAUUUAUGAAAGGAAAUAAAAAGAUAAAAAAUACUUUAUUCCUGAAGUAAAAUAAAAUACAAUGGUGGUAUAUCUGCCCUUCUAGAGGACCAUAAGUACAUUGUAAUAAAACCAUAUCUUUACUCUUUCUAAAUGCAACCGGAGACUUUGGACUAGCUGUACUUCCAGAACAGAAUAUUCCUUAAUGAGAGGUUGCUUACCAAGAAGGGAUUUUGAAUUUGUAACCUACCUCUCCAUCACAAAAGGAUGCCAAAUAUGCUUAACAAUGGUGACAAAAGAUGUAAACAAAACAAUAAAACAAAGUAAAUGAUCAAAUAUU